rnacentral:rRNA from 1 species
UACGAAAGGUGCAAGCGUUACUCGGAAUCACUGGGCGUAAAGCGCACGUAGGCGGACUUACAGGUCAAUUGUGAAAUACCUGGGCUCAACCCAGGAACUGCAGUUGAAACCGUUUGUCUUGAAUACUUGAGAGGGUGGGGGAAUUCCUGGUGGAGAAGUGAAAUUCGUAGAGAUCAGGUGGAACACCGGAGGCGAAGGCGCCUGCCUGGCAAUGUAUUGACGCUGAGGUGCGAAAGUGCGGGGAGCAAACAGG